GCCGUUGUAACUCAGUUGGUAGAGUAGCUCCAUGGUAAGGAGCAAGUCGGCGGUUCAAGUCCGCCCAACGGCUCCA
rnacentral:tRNA from 1 species